UCUGGUAGUGAGACAUACCGUAAUCUCCAUCAUAGUAUCAUCAAAAUUUUUUUUGAUGGACUAGAAUAAUUCUAACUCACCCCAACAAAGAUCAUUGAUUCAAAAACAAUCCUAGUGAGUUCUCAUGAUCUACUGAUAAUAUUUAGUAGUAUGUAGUGACAACCCAGUAGAACAGAAAAAUAAAUCUUCAGGUAUAGUUACCAUAUAAUACACUUCCUCUAUCAUGAGUCCCAACUAGAUAGAGGUCAUGGAGAACUCGUCAAACCUCAUUAUCAGUCAUAUACUAGAUUAGCUCGAUUCGAGUUCAUUUAUAAAUUUCAUAAAAUUUUUUUCUAGUAUUCAUACUUGCUACGGUCAGAGACUUCCUGAACUCAGUCUCGUGAAUUAUAUAGGACUACUCUUUUUCUACCAAAGUCGAUAGAUUUCAUCUAGAUGUAUCCUACUCCAAACAACGAGCCUAAACUUACAAUAGCCAGUAUAUACAGCAAGGACCCAAAUGACUAGAGACCAAAAAAAUAUACAGUCAAACUAAGUAGUCUUACUGUGAAUAGCCAACACACCGCAGAUCAAAAGAUCAGUCACACCAUUGCAGUAUUGAGAAAACUACUGAUGAACGAGUAGAUACCAAAUAAUUUCUCGUAUUGAUCAUGCUAAGUAUAAGUUAUUCUCUAACAAUCACCUGUACUCUUACCCCAGUGUCUUUCACU
rnacentral:lncRNA from 1 species